GACGAACGCUGGCGGCGUGCCUAAUACAUGCAAGUCGAACGAGAGCGACCGGUGCUUGCACUGGUCAAUCUAGUGGCGAACGGGUGAGUAACACGUGGGUAACCUGCCCAUCAGAGGGGGAUAACAUCCGGAAACGGAUGCUAAAACCGCAUAGGUCUUCGAGCCGCAUGGCUUGAAGAGGAAAAGAGGCGCAAGCUUCUGCUGAUGGAUGGACCCGCGGUGCAUUAGCUAGUUGGUGAGGUAACGGCUCACCAAGGCCGUGAUGCAUAGCCGACCUGAGAGGGGGAUCGGCCACAUUGGGACUGAGACACGGCCCAAACUCCUACGGGAGGCAGCAGUAGGGAAUCUUCCGCAAUGGACGCAAGUCUGACGGAGCAACGCCGCGUGAGUGAAGAAGGUUUUCGGAUCGUAAAACUCUGUUGUUAGAGAAGAACAAGUGCUAGAGUAACUGUUAGCGCCUUGACGGUAACUAACCAGAAAGCCACGGCUAACUACGUG
rnacentral:rRNA from 1 species